rnacentral:rRNA from 1 species
AUUGAACGCUGGCGGCAGGCCUAACACAUGCAAGUCGAACGGCAGCACAGAAGAGCUUGCUCUUUGGGUGGCGAGUGGCGGACGGGUGAGUAAUGUCUGGGAAACUGCCCGAUGGAGGGGGAUAACUACUGGAAACGGUAGCUAAUACCGCAUAACGUCGCGAGACCAAAGGGGGGGACCUUCGGCCCUCACACCAUCGGAUGUGCCCAGAUGGGAUUAGCUAGUAGGUGGGGUAAUGGCUCACCUAGGCAACGAUCCCUAGCUGGUCUGAGAGGAUGACCAGCCACACUGGAACUGAGACACGGUCCAGACUCCUACGGGAGGCAGCAGUGGGGAAUAUUGCACAAUGGGCGCAAGCCUGAUGCAGCCAUGCCGCGUGUAUGAAGAAGGCCUUCGGGUUGUAAAGUACUUUCAGCGGGGAGGAAGGCGGUGAGGUUAAUAACCUCGCCGAUUGACGUUACCCGCAGAAGAAGCACCGGCUAACUCCGUGCCAGCCGCCGCCGUAA